rnacentral:rRNA from 1 species
GGGAAUAUUGCACAAUGGGGGGAACCCUGAUGCAGCGACGCCGCGUGAGCGAUGAAGUAUUUCGGUAUGUAAAGCUCUAUCAGCAGGGAAGAAAAUGACGGUACCUGACUAAGAAGCCCCGGCGAACUACGUGCCAGCAGCCGCGGUAAUACGUAGGGGGCAAGCGUUAUCCGGAUUUACUGGGUGUAAAGGGAGCGUAGACGGCUGUGCAAGUCUGGAGUGAAAGGCAUGGGCUCAACCUGUGGACUGCUUUGGAAACUGUGCGGCUUGAGUGUCGGAGAGGCAAGUGGAAUUCCUAGUGUAGCGGUGAAAUGCGUAGAUAUUAGGAGGAACACCAGUGGCGAAGGCGGCUUACUGGACUGUAACUGACGUUGAGGCUCGAAAGCGUGGGGAGCAAACAG